rnacentral:rRNA from 1 species
GUGAGGAAUAUUGGUCAAUGGGCGGGAGCCUGAACCAGCCAAGUCGCGUGAAGGAAGAAGGAUCUAUGGUUCGUAAACUUCUUUUGCAGGGGAAUAAAGUGCAGGACGUGUCCUGUUUUGUAUGUACCCUGAGAAUAAGGAUCGGCUAACUCCGUGCCAGCAGCCGCGGUAAUACGGAGGAUCCGAGCGUUAUCCGGAUUUAUUGGGUUUAAAGGGUGCGUAGGUGGUUUGAUAAGUCAGCGGUGAAAGUUUGCAGCUUAACUGUAAAAAUGCCGUUGAAACUGUCGAACUUGAGUGUAAAUGAGGUAGGCGGAAUGCGUGGUGUAGCGGUGAAAUGCAUAGAUAUCACGCAGAACUCCGAUUGCGAAGGCAGCUUACUAAGCUACAACUGACACUGAAGCACGAAAGCGUGGGGAUCAAACAGGAUUAGAUACCCUGGUAGUCC